rnacentral:rRNA from 1 species
GUAGGGUGCGAGCGUUAAUCGGAAUUACUGGGCGUAAAGCGUGCGUAGGCGGUUUGCCGUGUCCUGUGUGAAAGCCCCGGGCUCAACCUGGGAAUUGCAUGGGAAACUGGCAGGCUUGAGUGUGGCAGAGGAGGGUGGAAUUCCGCGUGUAGCAGUGAAAUGCGUAGAGAUGCGGAGGAACACCGAUGGCGAAGGCAGCCCUCUGGGCCAACACUGACGCUCAGGCACGAAAGCGUGGGGAGCAAACAGGAUUAGAUACCCUGGUAGUCCACGCCCUAAACGAUGUCGACUAGGUGUUGGGGAAGCGAUUCCUUGGUACCGUAGCUAACGCGUGAAGUCGACCGCCUGGGGAGUACGGCCGCAAGGUUA